UCAAGAUAGUAGUUCAGAAGAUGAAGAAUCAGAAGCAACUGAAGUACAAGAUGUCAAAGAAAGUUCUUCAGCUGUUCUACAUUCAAAUAUUAGAUUUUUCUUCUUCUCACAUGAUGAUAAAAGAUUAAAAGAGGGCCCUGAGCUAUUCUAUAAAGCUUCAGAUCUUGAUGAAGAAACAGAGGAUUGGGAAAGCAGGCGCCAAAUAUUGCUUGAGGAUUGUCGGAAGAAACAUAAAGAUGCAAGAAGGAAAGUUAAAGCAAAACAUUAACUACAGCAGUUCUGCUAAAGAAGGAAGAAUGUUGAAUAUACUUUGACUGAAUCCUGGGAUAAUGAAAACCAUUGAGAAAAUUCAUCUAUGGAUAGCUUGGAAGUAUAAAUUAGUGCUGAAUAAACUUUCAGAAUAGUGAAAAGAGAAAUCAGAAUAGAUUUGUAGUUCUAAAGUUUCUAAAGCUUACAUUUCCAUUAUCCAGUAUGAACAUGUUUAUUAUUAAAAUUCUAAAUUAUAGGCAACGGUCUUCACAAUUAGCAUUUAUAUUUAUUGCCUGUCUUUUAUAAUCCUCAUGUCAUACAUAUUUCGAAAGACGUUUAGGAUUUCAUAUGCACAUAGGUUCUUUGCCACCAAAAGCAACAUUUGAUGGACAUUAAUAUAAUUUGUUCUCUUAUCUAGCCAAGACUAGUUAUAGAACAAAUGAGGCAAGGAUCAAAUGUAAUACUUCAAGAGAGUGACUGAAUAUUAAAUGUAUAUAAUUAAGUACAAUGAAGGCAAGCAGUUUUUAUGUACAGAAUUACAUAAAUAUAGUCAAUUUAAAUUAUACAAAAAUGUUUGUUACUAUUUAUGUUAAUAUGAGAUUAUUUUUGUACCUUGAAAGAUUGAAUCCGGGCCAUUAGGAAAGGAUGAGUUGGAACCUUAGAUUCCUGGAAGCUCCUUUCAUAACCAUGCAUAUUGUAAUGGUGCAUAUAAUACAUCCCUGGAUGAUUUUUAUACAGCAAAAAGUUAGAUUGAAAAAUCAAACUGCAAGUUGCAUUGUUUCUAUUUGAAAAUGGUGUCAAAAAUAUAGAAUAUGUAAAUGAUUGAACAGCCUUAUGGAAUAUAAAUAGUUUUUUAAUUUUAGUCUCUUUGUGGAAUGUUGCUUUUAUAUGAGAAUCAUCAAGCAUUGUAGGCUCUUUUUUCUUCCAACUUGUAUCAUAGAUAUAAACUGCCAUGUUCUUGUUUUCAAUACAGUAAUGAUGGCAUGUUUAAAGUUUUCACUAAAAGAGCCAUUUGAGGCACAGGAGAAGAAAUACUGAACUUAAAGAAUAUUUGAAGAAACUGACUUAGAAGGGGGAGGCUAGAAAUCUUGAACUGCUUAGAAAAAAAUGGGUUUUUUAUUCGCUAUAAACUCUUAUAGGAAGUGUAAAUCCAGGAAUCACUCUUUAAGUUUAAAACAUAGUAUUAAUAAAUGCUGAAUUUCCAGAAACCAAAGCUUGCUCUAUAAUCUUUGGUAGACAAUUCAUUGUUUUUCAUCUUUU